rnacentral:rRNA from 1 species
AUACGUAGGUGGCAAGCGUUGUCCGGAAUUACUGGGUGUAAAGGGAGCGCAGGCGGGACAGCAAGUUGGAUGUGAAAUACCGCAGCUCAACUGCGGAGCUGCAUCCAAAACUGUUGUUCUUGAGUGGAGUAGAGGUAGGCGGAAUUCCGAGUGUAGCGGUGAAAUGCGUAGAUAUUCGGAGGAACACCAGUGGCGAAGGCGGCCUACUGGGCUCUUACUGACGCUGAGGCUCGAAAGUGUGGGGAGCAAACAGGAUUAGAUACCCUGGUAGUCCACACUGUAAACGAUGAUUGCUAGGUGUGGGGGGUCUGACCCCUUCCGUGCCGGAGUUAACGCAAUAAGCAAUCCACCUGGGGAGUACGGCCGCAAGGUUGAAACUCAAAGGAAUUGACGGGG